rnacentral:misc_RNA from 1 species
AAGUCGUAACAAGGUUUCCGUAGGUCAAGUUGUGCCUACCACAGCGGUCCCCGCGACUGCUAGUUGACGUUUCGUCAGCGACACUGUUAACUUGCCGGAGAGACCCUCUAUAGGGAAAUCCGCAGCCCAUCGCCCCUACCCGGCGGUCGGUUCAGAGACUCAAUAACAGUGGGUUUGGCUAAGCCAAGCUUGAGAUAGAGCCCCGUCCCUGCUGGAAACAGCGGGGAGCAAACGGAACCUGCGGAAGGAUCAUUAAAGAAUAAAGGCCGCAAGGUCGCAUUCUCACCCUUUGUAAACAUAACUUCGUUGCUUUGGCAGGCCUUACAGCCUGCCAGAGGACUUAAACUCUGGAAUCUUUGAUGUCUGAGUUACUAUAUAAUAGUUAAAA